rnacentral:rRNA from 1 species
UAGGGAAUAUUGGUCAAUGGACGGAAGUCUGAACCAGCCAUGCCGCGUGCAGGAAGACGGCCUUCUGGGUUGUAAACUGCUUUUCUCAGGGAAGAAAAGGGCCUUGCGAGGCAAAUUGCCGGUACCUGAGGAAUAAGCACCGGCUAACUCCGUGCCAGCAGCCGCGGUAAUACGGAGGGUGCGAGCGUUGUCCGGAUUUAUUGGGUUUAAAGGGUGCGUAGGCGGCCUAUUAAGUCAGUGGUGAAAGGUAUCAGCUUAACUGAUGACGUGCCAUUGAAACUGAUAGGCUUGAGUACAGACGAGGUAGGCGGAAUUUAUGGUGUAGCGGUGAAAUGCAUAGAUACCAUAAAGAACACCGAUAGCGAAGGCAGCUUACUAGACUGAGACUGACGCUGAGGCACGAAAGCGUGGGGAGCGAACAGGAUUAGAUACCCCCGUAGUCC